CAAAUUUGAUACUUCUCGUUACAUAUGCGAGUAUCAACGAAGAGUUUGUCCGUAGAGAGGAUGUAUGCCAUUGCAGUACUUGAUGUAAUAAAAUCGUUGAAGCAGA